GACAACAGAGGUCGCACAUGAAACUGCCACAAUACCAAAAAAAAAACAGAAAUGGAUGGAGAAGGACGGCCCCCUCGAAAGGAAGGAAACGUGAAGAAUAUUCGAUUUUUAACCACCAGCCUUUAUGUAUUUGGAUUCUUGGAUUUGUUUGCUGUGGCUCUGAUCAUUCCUGUAGCAUCAAGACAAGCGACUAAUCUUGGGGCUUCCCCAGCUGCAGUCGGCCUUGUUGGAACUAUUUAUGGAACUUUGCAGUUGAUAUCUGCCCCGCUAGUGGGGAGAUGGAGCGAUGUUGGAGGUCGGAGGUUAACUCUUCUGCUUUGCCUUUUCUUCACCUCUGUUGGGUAUGUCUUGAUGGGUUUAUCUAACUCUAUUGUUUACUACCUACUAGCAAGGGUGCCUUUAGGUAUAUUCAAGCACAGUGUGUCCAUCACCAGGGCCUACCUCGCUGAAAUCACGCCCAAAUCUGAAAGGGCAAGGGUCUUUGGAUACUUCAAUGGCAUCUCCAGCAUCGGCUUCAUCAUUGGACCUCUCAUCGGCGGCCAUCUUGCUGAGAUGGACAACGGUUUCUAUAAAGUUUCUCUCAUCACUUCAGCUCUGUUUGCCCUCUGGUUUGUAUUUGUCCUGCUCUUCAUGACCGAACCUGAACAUAGAGGGCUGCCCAACACCAAGUCAGUCCAAGACUUCACUGCCGAUGAGUUCGGCAGCAAGUUCCACUCCUCGCUGCAUACUUUCAAAGAGAUCAUCAGGUCCGGGCCCGAGCUCUUCUUCAUCCGCUUCCUCCAGGGUUUCUCCGCCACCCUAUUCCGCAGCAACUUCACCCUGAUGUUGGAGCAGAAGUUCGACAGCACCCCCAUCAUCACCGGCCGCAUCAUAUCUUUCGGGUCGUUAGCGAGCGCCCUCUGCGCUAUAGGAGUGGGACGAUUGGUGAAGAUCUACCGCAACCUGCCCCGUCUGUACUUUCAUGCGUGCACCUUGAGGAUAUUCGCCAUUGUGCUGAUCAUCUUCGCGCCGAGCAUACCAUCAUUCCUAGUCUGUUAUUUCCUACUCUCCAUGGGCAACUCUGUAGCCCGUGUCUGCUCCACCAACCUAAGCAUCGAGCGGGGAAAGGUCGAGGACACUGGUGCGUUGCUGGGGCUAAAUCAAUCUGUCAUGUCCGUUUGUAGAACAGUAUCGCCUCUUAUAGCCGGGGUCUCGCAGGAAGUAACCUCCGAAGGACCUGCAAUUCUAUCGGUCAUCCUUUCCAUAGGGACUGCUGGUCUUGUCGCUACCUCAGUUUUAGAAGAAAGAAAGAUCUCUGACAAGGAGAAAAAACUUUGAAUAUAUAUCAGAAAAAGUUAUAUAAUUAAAGGUCAAGUCCACGUAAGAAAUAUGUUUAUUUGAAUAAAAAGAGUAAUAUCAAAGUAGCUUAACACUGAAAAUUUCAUCAAAUCGGAUUUAAAAUGAUAAAGUUAUUUCAUUUUUAAUUUUCGCUUGUUUUUCACAAAAGAGUAACACUCAGUGAUUUUCAAAUGAAAGCGUCAAUGAUGUCCCUCACUCACUAUUUCUUUUGGUUUUUUUUAUUGUUUGAAUUGUACAAUAUUUCAAUUUGUCCAUAUUUUACAAUAAGGACCAACUUGACUGAACCAUAAAAUGUUUGAACAAUGGUACAUGUUAAUCCGCAUAUUCAAGGAGGAAUAAAACUUUGUUUCACCUGACUAUGAGGAGAAAAUGUAAAUAUUACAUAUUUUAUAUGGUAAAAAAAAGAAAUAGUGAGUGGGUGAUGUAAUCAGUACCUUCAUUUCGAUACCGACCAAGAUGAGAAUAUAACUGUUUUGUGAAAUUAAGCAAAACUUUGAAAUGUCAUACCUUUCUUAUUAUACAUUCAAUUUUGAUGAAAUUUUCAUUGUUAUGCUUGUUUUUCUCUUUUUAUUCAAAUCAAUAACGGACUUGCUUUUUCAUUAGUUGCAUUUGUGCCUAUCUUUAGUUAAGUCAUUGUGUCAUCUAUCAGUACUAGUAGAUUCUUGCUCAAUCUAUAUUACUUUAAGUAUUUUGAAAAAAUAUAUUGUAAAAUACUGUAGUGUAUAUGAUAAAAUUUGGUAUUCAUAUUGCAUGAAUUAUCUUAUUUAUCAUACAAGGUGCUUAAAGGGAAAGUCCUCCCCAACAAAAACUUGAUCUGAAUAAUAAGAGAAGAGCAAGUAAAUUGAAUGCUUAAAAUUUCAUAAAACUUGGAUGUUGAAUGAGGAAAAUGUGACUUUUUAAGUUUUGCUUGACUUCACAAUGCAGUUUUAUGACAUCCCAGUGGGUAUGGAUUCUAUGGAAGUUAUUAUUUUUGUAUGUUAUAUGAAAUCCCCCCCUCAUUUAAUACCCCCCCAAAAAAAAAAAAUCCCCAUUUCCAGCAAUGUUUAUAAAGCUCAUCCAAUGUUGCAAAUUUUAUAGGAAGUGGGUUGUGAAAGUAGCCCCCAAAAAUAAGAUAUUAUUUUGCCUGGUAUUUAAAGAUGACUGUCACCCUUGACUCUUUGAAACACCCCCCCCCCCCCCAUACCCUGGUGCUGCCCCUGGAUCUAUGUCAGUAACAUCUAUUCAUAUCUUAAUCCAACAUAUUAUCUGGGCAAGAAAAUCAUGAUUUUACAGAAUUUCUUCAAACUUGUCCCAUUUUGUGAUUCAAUGGGAUUUAGAAGUGCCUUAGCUGACCUAGAAUGAAGGAAACACUGUGCCUUCUACUGCUCGAUACAUGUAUUUGUGAUGGGGAGAAUGGACAUUCCGUUGUUGAAUGUUAUUAAUUUAUUCCAGGGUAUAUUGUUCAAAAAUGUAAAUCAAUAAAUUGAACAGAAUUUUCCAACCUACUCCUAAUUAAAGUGUUAUAAAUGCAUUGUUUAGUACGUUUUAACUAUAUUUAGUACCAUAUCUG